UUGAUUCAGCUCUGUUACUACCUCCACUGACGGCUCAAAGGCGGAACAACAAUUCCCCCACCAUUCAGUGUUCAUACAUUUUAUACAGAACGACGAGACGGAAUAACAGCGCUACAAUCCCGCCUUGAACAAGCUGUGAACAGGUGCACCAACAGGAGAGUGAGAGAGAUGCCAGUCAAGCACAGCCUGAACACACUCAUACAGCUUUAAGAGGAGGUCUAAUCAGGCAAGCAGGAGAUCAAACCACGCACAGUGCUCGGUGUUACACACUCGAGCCACGGUUCUCUGAAAAAGGGCUCCCAGGGGUCGCUGAGGGGGUCAGUGGAGGCUGCAGACCUACUGCCUGAGCACUCAGCUGGCAGCAGAGCGCUUCAGAGGGCUGCACUGGGGAUAUGUUGAGAAACUGUAAAAACACUGGUGUCAUGGAUGCCGUCCACGGUGCUGAUUGGGGAGAACUCCGCUGUGUUCACCGAAAACAUGCUGGUGGGGACUGAUGACUAAAACAGGCUUGGAUUCAAAUCCAACCCGUGGCCCUUUGCUGCAUGUCAUCCCUCCUCUCUCUCUCUCUCGCUCUCUCUCUCUCUCUCUCUCUCCCACAUUUCCAGUUUCUCUUCAGCUGUUCCUAUCAAAUAAAGGCAAAAAAAAGAG